GACGAACGCUGGCGGCGUGCUUAACACAUGCAAGUCGAACGGUGAAAGCGGAGCUUGCUCCGCUGGAUCAGUGGCGAACGGGUGAGUAACACGUGGGCAACCUGCCCCUCACUUCGGGAUAACUCCGGGAAACCGGGGCUAAUACCGGAUAUGACCUCCUUGGGCAUCCUUGGAGGUGGAAAGUUUUUCGGUGAGGGAUGGGCCCGCGGCCUAUCAGCUUGUUGGUGAGGUAGUGGCUCACCCAGGCGACGACGGGGAGCCGGCCUGAGAGGGCGACCGGCCACACUGGGACUGAGACACGGCCCAGACUCCUACGGGAGGCAGCAGUGGGGAAUAUUGCGCAAUGGGCGAAAGCCUGACGCAGCAACGCCGCGUGCGGGAUGACGGCCUUCGGGUUGUAAACCGCUUUCAGCAGGGAAGAAGCCGCAAGGUGACGGUACCUGCAGAAGAAGCACCGGCUAACUACGUGCCAGCAGCCGCGGUAA
rnacentral:rRNA from 1 species